GCUCUCAAAAACGUAAAGGGUCUAAGACCCUCCAGGACUCUGGACAACUACCCCCCUGUGCAAUAUGUGUAUUCCUUAGCAAAGGGAAACUUUUUAGCCCACAGAAAACAUCACUUUUUAUUAAUUUUCCUGUUUUAUUGCUUCCUUUCAGGAUUAGCAAUCUCUCCCUGAUUAACUCUUCAAUUGGAGACUUUGAUGUUCAACAUCUAAUGGGCGCCAUCUCACCUGUGGUGACUUCCUUCCUAUUACCGCAUCAGAACCACUUGCUGGCUGCUGAAGGGUUCCCCUUACCGCUCCUGCAACAGCGCGGUUUGAGCAAUCUCCAUGCUGCUCCUCGCCAGGAUGUCCUUAUGCUCUUUGCUCCCCCUAAGGCUGCCUGAAUGUGGGAAUCGAUAUCCUGACCUGGUACAGGGCAAUGAUCCUGGAACAAGAUGGAAAAGGCUGCUUCUUCCCUCACCCCCGCCCGCCUUUAUUGUUUCAGUGCCUCUGCUUUGACUCUGGACCUUGCAAUAUUCAUUGUCUUUCAUUCUCUGUUUAAGGAGCUAAAAGCAGGAACAGCUUCUUUGCAAUCUAAUUUCCAGAGCUGGCUUUGUCUCCUGCCAUUGCAAAACAACGAAAGGUGAAAGCAAAAAGUGAACUCGUCGGGGUCUUUGGGGCCCAAAAGCCAGGAUUCAAGUCCUGCUCUUGGAAAACCUUGCCCUGAAUGGCUCUUCAGUUGAAAGCAGUGAAGUGCUGACACAGAGCAUUGCUUUGA